CAUGGCGGCUUCUUUACCCAGCAGUCCCAGCGCUGGCGAAGGUCCCCGAUCAACAUCACAAUGGAGUAGUGCGCAGGCGCCGUGUCGGCGAGCCUUCGGAGCAUGCGCAGUGAGGGCAAUGGCAAGGGGAAAGAUACUCCUUUGUCACAUUCGCCGUCGGUAAACAUUGACAGCCGCGGAGGGAGCGACGGAAACCGCGGGGACACAGAAGAAGUUUCUAAGCACCGGUGGAAGGCAACGAAAGCUGAAUACAAACCUACGGGGGAUUAAGAGAAGCUGAUUUGCAAAUGGAAAUCUCAAACUAAACGUCAUCUCACAAAAUCUGACUAUGAUCCACCUUUCACUGUGGAAGUAGAAAUGCUUGUCUGUUUGGGAAAAUGUCAUCGGUUUGAAUGGAAAAUUAUUGUGAGACACACAAACACCCAAGUGAGAGUGUUGCAGUGCACUGACUCUGGAAAGAGCUUUAACCAAUUAUGAUGCCUGAAUGAGCCUUCCAACAUUCUCAGCCCAGAGAAAUUACAUGUGUUUGUUUUUAUAUGAAUGAGUCUUCAGAAAAUCAUCCAACCUGGAGAGGCACAAAGACACCGGCAUCAUGGAGAAACGAUGGAAAUGUGAGGACUGUGGGAAGAAAUUCAGUUGGCCAUCCCAGCUGGAAAUACAUCGACGUACUCACACUGGGGAGAGGCCAUUCACCUGCUCCAAGUGUGGAAGGGGAUUCAGAGAGUCAUCUAACCUGCUUGCUCACCAGCGGGUUCACACUAACGUGAGACCUUUUAAAUGUUCAGACUGUGGAAAGUGCUACAAAUGUUCUGGGGACCUGAUGUCCCAUAAGCGUGUUCACACUGAUGAGAAACCUUUCAGGUGCUCUCACUGCAAGACUGGGUUCAGAAAAUCAUCUGAACUCUCUGUACAUCAGCGGACCCACACUGGCGAGAGGCCAUACACCUGCUCAGCAUGUGGGAAGGCAUUCAUUAAUUCAUCCAACCUGUUGAGACACCAGCGAGUUCACACUGACAUGAGAACUUUUAAAUGUUCGGACUGUGAGGAGAGUUUUAAAAGCAGCAAUAACCUGCUGAGACAUCAGCGCACUCACACUGGGGAGAAGCCAUUCACCUGUUCUGUGUGUAGGAAGGGAUUCACGCGGUCAUCCACCCUGGUGACACACCAGCGAAUUCACACUGGGGAGAGACCAUUCGCCUGCUCCAUGUGUGUCAAGAAAUUCACUUGCGCAUCCCACCUUCUGAAACACCAACGCACUCACACUGAGGAGAGGCCAUUCACCUGCUUUGUUUGUGGGAAAGGAUUCACUCAGUCAUCCAAUCUGCUGCAACAUCAGCAAGUUCACAACUGACUGUAGUGGUUCGAUUCUGAUGGUAUUGCUGCUGUUCGUGGCAGCCAGGACUGACCUGUUAACUUAGUGGCGAUUGUGAUCUUUUCCCGAAGAAGGUGUGGCCUCUCUAUCUGCAGCACUCGCUACCUGAUAGCCAUGGCAAUGGCUGAUCUGCUGGUGAUUAUCACUGAAAUCAUAAUGAGGCGGCUCAAUUCUUAUUAUUUCCUAUUUUGUUUCCUGAAUAUCGUCCCUGUGUGCAGUAUCAUUGCUGUCCUGAUUCGUGCGGCUGUAAACUGCUCUGUCUGGUUCACUGUGACUUUCUCAUUUGAUAGGUUUGUGGCCAUUUGCUGCCAGAAACUAAUGACAAAAUAUUGUACUGCAAAAAAUGCGAUUGUGGUUCUUGCAACAACCUGCGCCCUGCUCUGUUUAAAAAAUGUUCCCUUUUACUUUGUAUUUGAACCCGGGCUGAGAAUCGACCGUGUUUCCUGGGACUGCUAUAUUAAACCAAGCUACUUCACUGAACCUGGAUGGGUUAGAUUUCACUGGUUUGAUAUGAUUUUAACCCCAGCGCUACCAUUUGCUUUAAUUCUGCUGCUCAAUGCUCUGACAGUAAGGCACAUUUUACAGGCAAGUCAACUCCGCAAAGGACUGAGGGGUCAUAGAAGCCCAGGGGAUCACCGUGACCCAGAGGUGGAGAGCAGAAGGAAAUCUGUGGUAUUACUCUUCACCGUUUCUGGUAACUUCAUCAUCCUUUGGUUGGUUAUUGUUAUCGAUUUUUUUUAUGAUGAAUUUACAGGAAAAGAGCCUCUUGAUUACACCAAUUCAGAAUAUAUAUUCCACGAAGUGGGAAUCAUGCUCCUGAAUUUGAGUUGCUGCACUAACACAUUCAUUUAUGGAGUGACUCAGUCCAAGUUUCGAGAACAGCUCAGGAGCAUGGUGACAUAUCCACUUACAGCAAUCGCUCGUUGUAUUUAAAACCAAAACAUUUUACAACAUCCCAGAGCCGGGUCACAGGGUUUCGAGUUCACAAACCUACUCAAAGCCUUCCAAGAGAGGACAAAGUGAAGUGCACAGGGGGAAAGAGAUUGGAGUUCCGCAAGUAAGUUCAAGAGGAGAGACACAGCACCUCCAGAGGUCAGCAAGGGAACAGCACUCAGAG